rnacentral:lncRNA from 13 species
AUUUACAAGUGAAGGAGGAGAGCUUAUCAAUUUUCAGGGAAUCUCGGUGCAAUAUUAUACUAAUUUGAGAUCUUUCUAACAUCAUGACGAAGGUUGUCAGAACCAUAACUUUUCAUAUUGACACUGCUUCAGCAGCAAACCAAAGAUGUUGGGUCAUGGAUGAAUCUGGAAACCAUCAUUCUCAGCAAGUGACAUAAGAACGGAAAACCAAACACCAUAUAUUAUUACUCAUAGGUAGGUGUUGAACAAUUAGAACACAUG